rnacentral:misc_RNA from 1 species
CCGAGGGGGGGCCCCCCCUUUCCUUGCGAGAGGGGGGGCCCGGAUCUUCCCACCCAUGUCGACCGUACCACGUUGCUUCGGCGGGGACGCCUGCCGAAGGGGCUUCGAUUAACCGCUGUUUUUACUGCCAUAUUGUCUGAGUCGGGUCGAUGAAUUGGCCCCAACCAAACCGAAAGCAA